CCUUGUCCAGGGAGUUCAGGUAAUCGACAGCUCUUUCUCUGUUAACCAUGAAGGCAUGCUCGUCCAUUUCGAUGUUGGGUGAUCCCCUGUCAUCCCCAAAUCAUUAGCUUUUUUUUCCAGUGAAUUGAAUUAACAAACACUAAAAGGCUCUCAA